AUGGACGGAGAUGAGUGAGUUGCUUCUUCGAGAGAAUUUUGCCCGCAAUUUUGCUCCAUUUUACCGUUUCCUGAAAAAGGAACGGUAGUUAUGAAAUGCAAGACAUGUCCUCACAAAGUAGAUGCAAAAACUGCAUCACAUGGUGUGGUCUAUCAUUCAUACCUGAGUCUCAACUCUCACAAGAAUGUUGAAGGGUCGUCACAAGGUCGUCGACCAGAAAGACCUAGGACCACUGAUUGACAGGGCAUGUGCCAAGUGCAGUCACGAUGGACU